rnacentral:RNase_P_RNA from 1 species
UGACUGCUUCAAACGGUCGCGCGGUAUGUUGCCGAAAGGUAUUACCGUGAGGAAAGUCCGGGCUUUACAGGGCAGGAUAACGGAUAACGUCCGCCGAAGGCGACUUCCGGGAAAGUGCAGCAGAAAUAAACCGCCGCUUUUGCGGCAAGGAUGAAAAGGCGAGGCAAGAGCUCACCGCCCGCACGGUAACGCGCGGGGCAAUGUAAACCCUAUCCAAAGCAACACCGUGAGUUUAAGGUCUGCCCGACCGAGCGAAAGCUGACUCUGGGUGGCAGUCGGCAUUUGCCGAUAAGCCGCGCGGUAACGCACGGCGAAGAUAGAUGACCGUUCUCGACAGAACCCGGCUUACAGAAACAGUCAAAUC